rnacentral:rRNA from 1 species
UGGAAGGGCCAUCGCUCAACGGAUAAAAGCUACCCCGGGGAUAACAGGCUGAUCUCCCCCAAGAGUCCACAUCGACGGGGAGGUUUGGCACCUCGAUGUCGGCUCAUCGCAUCCUGGGGCUGUAGUCGGUCCCAAGGGUUGGGCUGUUCGCCCAUUAAAGCGGUACGCGAGCUGGGUUCAGAACGUCGUGAGACAGUUCGGUCCCUAUCCGUCGCGGGCGUAGGAAAUUUGAGAGGAGCUGUCCUUAGUACGAGAGGACCGGGAUGGACGCACCGCUGGUGUACCAGUUGUCCCGCCAGGGGCACCGCUGGGUAGCUAUGUGCGGACGGGAUAAGCGCUGAAAGCAUCUAAGCGUGAAGCCCACCUCAAGAUGAGAUUUCCCACCGCGUCAGGCGGGUAAGAUCCCUCGAAGAUGACGAGGUCGAUAGGUCCGAGGUGGAAGCGUGGCGACACGUGGAGCUGACGGAUACUAAUCGAUCGAGGGCUUAACCUAA